UAAAAUGAGGGGUUAAAGCAGAUUAUCUCUACAAUCCUUUUCAAUUCCAUGAUCCCAUGAUCAUAUAAUUGGAACCUGAUAUGAUCUAAUUCAGCAGCUUCUAGAAAGUUAACUCCUUCCAUUAAUCAAUGAGGGAACUAUGCCCUUUAAGGGGACAUGACUUUGGGAAUGUCUCACUACUAUCUAACAGUUGAGCUAGGGCCAGAACUCAGGAUUCUUGACUCUAAUAGUCAAUGACAAUGAAUAGAUUCCAAUUUGGGGGCCAAUUUUUUAGGGCAGUGACCAUUCUGUGCCCUCUGAACCCAUCUCACCUGACCUCGAUUCCUCUUGAAUUGGACAUUUCCAGGCUUGAAGGCUACAGUUCUCUUUACCACCUCUAAUUUUGUAUGUGAAGCUCAUUCUUUGGACAGGAAUAUUUGCAGUAUUCUAUUUGAUCCCUUCUGUAUUAGCAGAGCUAUGCAACAAGGUCUAAUCUCAACUCUUUGAACCUUGACAUGGCAUUGAAUUAUGCAUUCUUCUUAUAUUAUCUGCAAUGCUUUUGCAGCAGGAAUCAUGAUCUUGAUGGAUUCACAUGCUACUGAGUGCCACUUCCACCCAAGGCUCUACUUUACCAAGAUUCUUCUGUAAAGAUUAUCUUCUGAAGGCAAUGAGGUCUCAUACCUCAGGCUGUGCAGUGACAACCAGAAGCAACUAGGGUAGCAAAGGGAUGGCAAUGAGAGUUCAAACACAGCCCUGGACCUAUCAGGGUGACCCUGGCUUCAGGGUACAGAGAAUGGAAUGGAGGGGAGAGCCUGGCUGCAGGAAGACCAAGCAGCACACUCCUGCAAUGGUCCAGAAUGAGGGCUGGGGGCAGGAGAGCAGCUACCUGAGCAUCAAGGUGACAGACAAGAGAGAUGUGGAGGAGAAGAAUAAUGAAGUGGCAACUGAUUCAGAUAGAGAAGGAGUCAGACGGGUGCCAAUGAGCUGUGUUCGCCUUGUCCAUGGGAGAGAGACAGAAAAAAGAGAAAAACCUCAAAACUAAGGAGAAGACAGUAUCAUCUGACACUGAAAGAGCAUGGCUGAUGAUGAGACUGUUGCAGGACUUCCAAACUUGCAGGAAUCAUUGGAUUCCCUACACAUGUGAAGUAAUGGAUAAUAGAUUGGUUUUGGACUAUUUCUAGGACUUAUGGACAUGUAUAAUGUCUCAUGUUGAUUCAUGUUGUUUGUUAAAUCACUAUUAGCCUGUGCUAUAUUGCUAUGUGCUUAUGUAAUAACUCCAAUGUUGAUGGAUUUAUGUAUACCUGUUUCAAGUGAGCCCCUUCAGGAACUCACUAAUCUGGUUUGAUUUCCCAUUUCUUUUGGUGUUUUCAUCUCCCUUCCUGAGAUGUCAGAGAAGGCAUAAUCACCACCUUUUAUGGUGUUUUCACCAUUCUUUUGAGGAAUCAGGGAAGGUGUGAUCACCUCCUUUUUGGGGGUUCUCACCUCCUUAAGAAAUCAGGGAGAGCAUGACCACCUAUGUUCUAAAACAAAAGAAAGCAGGAGAUGUUAUGGCCCAGAACUCUGAACUUGAAACAAGGAUGCUUACAAGGUACUAACUAAAUGGAAUUGAUGAGACAAUGGUUAUCUAGUUUAGCAUGGUGCUUAAUAGUUCUCUAAGUUGAGUGUGAUUGAUUUAAGCCUACAACAAAUAAUGGUUUCCUAGUGAUAUAAUGAUUGGUUUAUACUCGGUGUAGAGCAUAUAAGCUGGGAUCCUCAGCUAGAUUCAUUCAGAGGCAGAGAAGAUAAAGGACUGGGGGCAGGAGCUCAAGUUCUCAGAAUCAAGGAGAGAGGAGAGGUUCAUUCGAUCUCAGUCAGGCUCCUGGUAGCUAGCCUGGCCUCCUGCUUCCCCCACUAAGACCAAGGCCAGACUGAAAGGCUCUCCAGAAAGCUACCCAGCACCAGGAAGGAAAUAAAAAAGAAUCUGGACUUUAACACCUGUCUGUACUUGUGGUGAUUACUGAACUGAAAUGAAGGCUGCUCCCAGAGACCCCAGGAAAACCAAACAAGAAUCUGGCCCAUAACAAGUUAAAGCAAGGGAUUAAAAAACUCAGACAGAAACUGUAAGGGAGACACAAAGGUUUUGGAAAGAGGAAGACAGAGAGCAGACAAUAGAAAAGGAGAGGAAAGAGAGAGAAUUCAUUCAACAUUGCAAAUAUCAUUCCGUCAUCUUUCUCUUUAAGCCCAUACCUUUUCUGAACUUUCUUAUUUUUGUCUUGGUAAUACACACAAUCAUAUACGGGAUUAAUCUCUAACUAUAUACACCAUUAUACUUCUAAUCACCCAUGUUUGUUACCUGAAGUGUUAAUUUUGAUAUUUCACUUUUACAUACCUACAUACAUAAGCAGUUGCUAAAUCUUAGCAUUUCUAACUCUACUAUAUGUCUUUUUAAAAGAUACUACAUUUUUAACUUAUGGAAGAAAACAAGGAUUUCUACAUAAUACUAUAACAAAGAUGAUGGUAUGUGCAAUUAUAAAUCUGUUAUAUACAACUUCCUAUUUUAAAUAUAUCAUAAAAUUCUAAGAAAAAUGGCAUUUUCCCCCCUCACCCACCCUACAGAUGCCUACCAUUAAAUACCAAUACUUGUGUGUGUGUGUGUAUGAACAUAUAUAUAUACACACACAUAUGUAUAUCUGUAUGUGUGUAAAAUUAUUCUGUACUUACUUUUAUUUAUCAGUUCUUUCUCUGGAUAUGGAUAAUCAUUUAUAGUUAAUUUGAGUAUUUAUAACAGA